ensembl:lncRNA
CCCCCCGGCUGCGUCUCUCCAAAACGCGUCAAGUUAAUACGCGGUGACGCGCGUCAACAAACCACAAAGCAAAAGGCCCUCCGGUUCGGCUGCUUUGCUUCGGAAAGCUUCAGCCGCUCUGGACUCCACGUUGUCCCCGCGUAAAUGGGUCGAUCUGAGGGCGAUGGCUUGGGACAGGAAGCAGGAUGGAUGGACCGAGGAACGCGCCCACGUAGACUGCAAGAGACGGACGCGUACCGCUGCGGACAGACAGGCCAUUACAGCGUGGAGGACAAACCGUUUUGACUGCGAGUACAGUUGCAUAUUCACUCAAGCGGCUGUCUGCAUCAAAGAAAUAGAGCCAGUACUUAAAACUAUUAUUCUGCCAUUAGUUUUCUGCAGGUCACGGUUGUGGCAUAAUGCAAUAGCACUCAUCUAUUUCAUUCAUUUGAGUUCUUAGAGAGCGACACGCAAUUUAAUUAUCCAUCCUCCUCUCUGGCUGUGCGAGCGGGAGCGAGCGCCUCGCCUCCCCCCUUCCCUCCCAACCCCACUCACUUCUCGUAAAGGAUCGAGGGUGCCGAAACAAUGAUGGAUAGAGUCUGAAAAGUGCAUUAUUUCUGAUGCAUUUUUGAUUAUUUUUACCCUUUCCCUUUUUUUCCUCCAGGUAACGCAAUAAGCCUGAUACGCCCUGAGUUCUGUCAGAGACAUGGAUAUUGCAACAGCUCAGGCAUCGCUUUCUAUCGGCAGGAAAGUCAUUGUUUCUGAAACAAGGGCUUCUCUGUUGUUGUUUUUUAUAGCUCUUUUACUCCUUUUCUUUUUUUUUGUUGCCUCCUGUCUGUCUGUCUUUUUUUUUCCACAGCCUUUGUGGUUUUUGUCUGUCUGUCUGUCUCCAGCUUGGAGACAUUCUCAUUUGGACGGGUGCCUUGGAUGCCCCAAUAGACUGCCACAAUAGUUCCUCAUCGAAACAAUUUCAAGGACCUCUUCAAAGUGAAUGAAUCAAUAGUGCUCAUAUGUGGGGUUAAAGCAGAGGUUACGCUCAUAUUGUUCAACUCCAGACACUCCCUUAGCCCCAACAUGCUAGCCGGAGCCAGUGACCUCUUGUUUGGUUAAUAUAAUUCAUUCUGUAAAUAGAGAAUAUCAAUCCCUCCAAAUAUAACCCCACUUGGCCCUAAACAAAUAAAUAUAUAUUAAAAAAGCGCAGGGCGAACCUGCAGGCUUAAUACUCUUAUGUCUAAACUUGGUUUAUCAAACGAUGCAAAUGUUUCUGAUGUCUGAAAUGUAGGUGCUGCCA